rnacentral:rRNA from 1 species
UACGGGGGGAGCAAGCGUUGUUCGGAAUUACUGGGCGUAAAGGGCUCGUAGGCGGCCAACUCAGUCGGACGUGAAAUCCCUCGGCUUAACCGGGGAACUGCGUCCGAUACUGGAUGGCUUGAGUGUGGGAGAGGGAUGCGGAAUUCCAGGUGUAGCGGUGAAAUGCGUAGAUAUCUGGAGGAACACCGGUGGCGAAGGCGGCAUCCUGGACCGGUAUUGACGCUGAGGCGCGAAAGCCAGGGGAGCAAACGGG